AUCGCAAUUUUACGACAAGCCUGAAAGACGUUUUGCACAUCAUAAGUUCAUAAAGUCUCGAGGUGGAAGGACGUGUUUUCGCGUCUCUUAAAUUCAACUUAUCGAGCUAAUUUUUUGGCAAAAUUAGUUUUAAUUUGUUCUACGUCUGAAAGGAUAGUUUGAUUCAUAUUCUAUUAUUAUUCUUCGUAUUUGCCCACAGCAUAAAUUAAAUCGACAAAAUUUUUAAAGGUUAUAUCUUGAAACAGACAUCAGGUGGUCACGUCGCCAUUUUUAAUGUUUUGUUAUUUUAUUCGUUUUUGACUGGUCUUUUAUUACGUGUUUUUGUUUUAUUUCAUGUUUCAUUUGUUUAAUACGAGUGUUUAAUUAUUUUUUUAUCAAUUUUCCGCAUAUAUUUUGACUUUCAUUUGAGAGUAAGGGAGAAAAGUGAAAAGGAUUAAAUUUUUAAAUUUUUUGCGUAACAGAUAUCUAUUAAAUUAAUUAGUUAAUAAUUGUUUUUGUCCGUUUACACAGAUUGGCCAACAAUUGUGAGAGAUUGGAACUGAUAUCUUUGCUUACUAAAAAGAUAAGUCGUCUCCUAUGGUGUUUUAGCUGUUAACCUUUCAUCUUGUAGUUAAUUAAGGAACAUUAGAAGAACUCCGGAUACCUUUAAAUUAUGAAAUUAUGGAGCAUUGGUUGAAUUAGUUCUCAUUUGCCCUGCAAAGUAGCUGUGCCCAUGGUUCUAAAGAAAGCAUGAAAGUGCCUUGUUUUCAUUGGGAGUGAAGACAGUGUGCUGAAAAAGGAUUUAUGACAAUGAACUGACAACUUUUAAACAACGUUUCAGAAAUGGCAGAAGCAGAAUAAAUGUGGAACAGAUCUUUCCAUUAGUGUGCAUGUUACUGAUGUAUACUGAUUUAUUGGAUUUAAAAAUGGUAACUAAUUACUUUUCUUGCCUGUUUAUAUGUAGAUUGUUAUCCCACAAAUGAGAAGGAAUUGCAGUUAAUUUUUGCCAUAACAAUGGGAGGCAAUUGGAAAUUAAUUAAUUUGGACGCAACCGGAACAACAAAUUAUCUGCAGUAGUAUCCCUCCUAGAUUUGGUUAAUUUGCUCAUCACACUGGUAGACUUUAGAACGCCACUCUACAAUUAAUUAAGGUUAUGCAAUAAAUGAGAAAGAGUUAAUGUUCAGUAUGGUUAUACUGAAACAGCCCAUGUCUACAUGGGUGUGGUCUUUCCUGGAUUAUAUUCUUGAUUUGCUGUUUCG